UGGCUGGCUGUGUGCUCCUGUUCUGCUAGGCGGCCGUGGCUGGCUAAAUAAACAAUCCUAAUUGGCUGUGGAGCCCCACUAGUCUGGGGUUUCACUCGCUUUCAUCCUCGGGAAGCUGCCGGGAAGCUGUGGGAGAGCUGAGGUAAAUGGUGAUACACAAGAGUUUGUAUAUGAGCUUUUGGGAGUGCCCGCAGUUAAGCUCAGAGGAGAGUAAUGUGGCCACCUGCUUAGCACAUCUGGGGAUGAGCAAUCUAACCUUUGACACACUGUCUAAUGCAUACGGUGUGAUCUUGCCUGCAAAGAGUGCCUUAAGAAAAGAGAAGACCUACAAGUACUGAAGACUGCGGUUUUAGUGUGAUGGAAUUGUGUUGUCUGAGAGAAAGAAAGAAGAAGAAAGAGGGGCUCUUUCGCUCUUAAGCACGACUCUGGCGCUGGCGCUAAGCCCGGCAUGGCUCGGGAAGGGGAAUUGUGAAAGCGGUUGUCAUGGAGGAGCGCAGGAGAAUAGAGAGAAGGAGAGAGGGAUAGGAGAGGAAAAGACUUGCUCUCUGGAGAUGCAUACUACUGGUCACUUGAUUUCUCCACUUUGAAUGUUCCAUUUUAUAGGCAACAAAAAAAAAGACUUGAGGAAAUGGGGAAAGUGACUGAUUAGAAAUUUCAAAGCCAUAACAUGCCAUUCUCAACCAAAUAAAUGUCAUGUUUUGCACCCCUGUAUUUAGGUGAUGCACUUCACAGCAGCAGCAACAAAGGAUUGUGUGAUUGUAGAAAAGGUUUCAGAAUCAAGACGUUUCGGCUCCCAUCCGGAAGUCAUUCUCAAUUGUGAAAAUGGUCUGAGAACUCAGAAAUUUAAGCUAAGCUAAAGGAUUGUAUGAUUAGAUGAGCAGCAGUAACCAUGAUGUCUUGCAAGAGUUAGGCUGUAAUUAGGCAGUGUGGCACUUUGAGCUGAUGUUUAGCAGAUAUAAUGUUUACCAUGUUCACCAUCUUAGUUUAGCCUUUUAGCAUGCUAAUAUUUGAAAAUUUAGUAAAGCGAAUGUUGAUGGGAAUGUCAUUAGUUUUGCAGGUAUUUCAAGUCUGUACCUAAUCCCAUGGCAAUCCAUCCAAUAGCUGUUGAGACAUGUCAUUCCUCACUGUGGCACUGGAGGAAAAGUCAGGGGAUCACCAAAGUAAUUAGGAUUCAUCAUCUGGGAACUGUACAACAUUUUGUGCCAAUCCAUCUAGUAAAUGUUGGUAUAUUUCACUGGAUGAGUGCAGACUUUGACCUGCUGAUGACUAGAUAAAAAGUCAUGGGAUCACCAAAGUCAUUAGGAUUCAUCCUCACAAUGAAUGAAUGAAUGAAUUUGAUGGGAAUUCAUCCUGUUCCUAGAGCCACACCACUAACAUGAAAUGUCAGA